rnacentral:rRNA from 1 species
CGACGACGGAUAGCUGGUCUGAGAGGAUGACCAGUCACACUGGGACUGAGACACUGCCCAGACUCCUACGGGAGGCUGCAGUCGAGAAUCUUCCGCAAUGGGCGCAAGCCUGACGGAGCAAUGCUGCGUGCCGGAUGAAGGCCUUCGGGUCGUAAACGGCUGUCACUCGGGACGAAUUUUGACGGUACCGAGAGAGGAAGCCACGGCUAACUACGUGCCAGCAGCCGCGGUAAUACGUAGGUGGCGAGCGUUAUUCGGAAUUAUUGGGCCUAGAGGGUUCGUAGGGGGUAAUGUAAGUCCGGUGUGAAAUCUCGAGGCUCAACCUCGAAACUGCAUUGGAAACUGCGUUACUUGAGUGUCAGAGAGGAAAGCGGAAUUCCUGGUGUAGCGGUGGAAUGCGUAGAUAUCAGGAAGAACACCGACGGCGAAGGCAGCUUUCUGGCUGACAACUGACCCUGAUGAACGAAAGCUAGGGUGGCGAACAGGAUUAGAUACCCUGGUAGUCCUAGCUGUAAACGUUGUGCACUGGAUGUGGGCGGAUUUGGUCCCGUCUGUGUCUGAGCGAAGGCGUUAAGUGCACCGCCUGGGGACUACGGCCGCAAGGCUAAAACUCAAAGGAAUUGACGGGGGCCCGCACAAGCGGUGGAGCAUGUGGCUCAAUUCGAGGCAACGCGAAGAACCUUACCUGGGUUUGACAUAUACCUGACCGCCGGUGAGAGCCGGUUUCUCUUUGAGCAGGUAUACAGGUGCUGCAUGGCUGUCGACAGCUCGUGCUGUGAAGUGUUCGGUUAAGUCCGGCAACGAGCGCAACCCACGCUGUUAGUUACCAUCAGGUGAAGCUGGGGACUCUAACAGGACUGCCCGUGCUAAGCGGGAGGAAGGCGUGGACGACGUCAAGUCCGCAUGGCCCUUACGCCCAGGGCUGCACACGUGCUACAAUGGCCGGUACAGAGGGUCGCCACUCUGCGAAGAGGAGCUAAUCCCGAAAACCGGCCCCAAUUCGGAUUGGAGUCUGCAAUUCGACUCCAUGAAGUAGGAAUCGCUAGUAAAGGCGUAUCAGCAACGGCGCCUUGAAUCUGUUCCCGGGCCUUGUACACACCGCCCGUCACAUCAUGGAAGCCGGCUGCACCCGAAGUCG